UUACGGCCAUAUGAUGUUGAAACACUGGUUCCUGUACGAUCACCGAAGUUAAGCAACGUCGAGCCAGGUCAGUAUCUAGAUGGGUCAUCGUUUUGGAAUACCAGGUAAUGUAAG